rnacentral:rRNA from 1 species
GAGUUUGAUCCUGGCUCAGGACGAACGCUGGCGGCGCGCCUAACACAUGCAAGUCGAACGAGCGAGAGAGAGCUUGCUUUCUCGAGCGAGUGGCGAACGGGUGAGUAACGCGUGAGGAACCUGCCUCAAAGAGGGGGACAACAGUUGGAAACGACUGCUAAUACCGCAUAAGCCCACAGCUCGGCAUCGAGCAGAGGGAAAAGGAGCAAUCCGCUUUGAGAUGGCCUCGCGUCCGAUUAGCUAGUUGGUGAGGUAACGGCCCACCAAGGCGACGAUCGGUAGCCGGACUGAGAGGUUGAACGGCCACAUUGGGACUGAGACACGGCCCAGACUCCUACGGGAGGCAGCAGUGGGGAAUAUUGCACAAUGGGGGAAACCCUGAUGCAGCGACGCCGCGUGAAGGAAGAAGUAUCUCGGUAUGUAAAACUCUAUCAGCAGGGAAGAUAAUGACGGUACCUGACUAAGAAGCACCGGCUAAAUACGUGCCAGCCGCCGCGGUAAUUC